AGAGUUUGAUCAUGGCUCAGGAUGAACGCUGGCGGCGUGCUUAACACAUGCAAGUCGAACGAUGAAGCCCAGCUUGCUGGGUGGAUUAGUGGCGAACGGGUGAGUAACACGUGAGCAACCUGCCCCUGACUCUGGGAUAAGCGCUGGAAACGGCGUCUAAUACUGGAUAUGUCCCAUCACCGCAUGGUGUGUGGGUGGAAAGAUUUUUCGGUUGGGGAUGGGCUCGCGGCCUAUCAGCUUGUUGGUGAGGUAAUGGCUCACCAAGGCGUCGACGGGUAGCCGGCCUGAGAGGGUGACCGGCCACACUGGGACUGAGACACGGCCCAGACUCCUACGGGAGGCAGCAGUGGGGAAUAUUGCACAAUGGGCGGAAGCCUGAUGCAGCAACGCCGCGUGAGGGAUGACGGCCUUCGGGUUGUAAACCUCUUUUAGCAGGGAAGAAGCGAAAGUGACGGUACCUGCAGAAAAAGCACCGGCUAACUACGUGCCAGCAGCCGCGGUAAUACGUAGGGUGCAAGUGUUAUCCGGAAUUAUUGGGCGUAAAGAGCUCGUAGGCGGUUUGUCGCGUCUGCUGUGAAAUCCCGAGGCUCAACUUCGGGCUUGCAGUGGGUACGGGCAGACUAGAGUGCGGUAGGGGGAGAUUGGAAUUCCUGGUGUAGCGGUGGAAUGCGCAGAUAUCAGGAGGAACACCGAUGGUGGAAG
rnacentral:rRNA from 1 species